rnacentral:rRNA from 1 species
UACGUAGGGGGCAAGCGUUGUCCGGAAUCAUUGGGCGUAAAGCGCGUGUAGGCGGCUCGGUAAGUCUGCUGUGAAAGUCCAGGGCUCAACCCUGGGAUGCCGGUGGAUACUGUCGAGCUCGAGUCCGGAAGAGGCGAGUGGAAUUCCUGGUGUAGCGGUGAAAUGCGCAGAUAUCAGGAGGAACACCGAUUGCGAAGGCAGCUCGCUGGGACGUCACUGACGCUGAGACGCGAAAGCGUGGGGAGCAAACAGG